UACGUAGGGGGCAAGCGUUGUCCGGAAUCAUUGGGCGUAAAGCGCGCGUAGGCGGCCAGAUUAGUCCGGUGUGAAAGUCAGAGGCUCAACCUUUGAAUGCCGCUGGAAACUGUCUGGCUUGAGUCCGGAAGGGGCGAGUGGAAUUCCUGGUGUAGCGGUGAAAUGCGUAGAUAUCGGUAGGAACACCAAUGGCGAAGGCAGCUUGCUGGCAUGUUUCUGACGCUAAGGCACGAAAGCGUGGGGAGCGAACAGG
rnacentral:rRNA from 1 species